rnacentral:rRNA from 1 species
UACGUAGGUGGCGAGCGUUAUCCGGAAUUACUGGGCGUAAAGCGUGCGCAGGCGGUUAUGUAAGACAGAUGUGAAAUGCCCGGGCUUAACCUGGGAACUGCAUUUGUGACUGCAUGGCUAGAGUUUGGCAGAGGGGGGUAGAAUUCCACGUGUAGCAGUGAAAUGCGUAGAUAUGUGGAGGAACACCGAUGGCGAAGGCAGCCCCCUGGGUCAAGACUGACGCUCAUGCACGAAAGCGUGGGGAGCAAACAGG